rnacentral:rRNA from 1 species
UACGUAGGUGGCAAGCGUCGUCCGGAAUUAUUGGGCGUAAAGCGCGCGCAGGCGGCCUUUUAAGUCUGAUGUGAAAGCUUUCGGCUUAACCGGGGAGGGUCAUUGGAAACUGGGAGGCUUGAGUGCAGAAGAGGAAAGUGGAAUUCCAAGUGUAGCGGUGAAAUGCGUAGAGAUAUGGAGGAACACCAGUGGCGAAGGCGACUCUCUGGUCUGCAACUGACGCUGAGGCACGAAAGCGUGGGGAGCAAACAGG